GGAGGCCUCAGCCAAAGCCAGAGGCAGCACGGCUGUCUCCAUGGCAACGGACCCACAGCCAUGCACACAAACCCCUCUUCACUGACCCCAAAAUUCAAUUUUUUCUCCAAUAAAGAACUGUUCUGCAGUACACCUGACAACACACAAAAAGCGCAAGUACAGCAUUCCAUGCAGACUGCACCAAGGAUGCGAGCUGAACCAGACAUACUGCUGCAGGGCCCAUAAUACCUGAGGCCUGGAACCACUCAGGAAAAUGCAGAGCAGGUAGAUGUGCGCUAUGUGACUGAUUUAGAAGGUUUCAGCCAAAAAACAAUCCCAGCUUUCCUCAGUGACUGCGGCAGAAUCAAAACAUCACCUUCCUUA